rnacentral:rRNA from 1 species
GAUGAACGCUGGCGGCGUGCUUAACACAUGCAAGUCGAACGAAGUAUUUAAGACAGAUUACUUCGGUUUGAAGUCUUUUAUGACUGAGUGGCGGACGGGUGAGUAACGCGUGGGUAACCUGCCUCAUACAGGGGGAUAGCAGCUGGAAACGGCUGGUAAUACCGCAUAAGCGCACAGUACCACAUGGUACAGUGUGAAAAACUCCGGUGGUAUGAGAUGGACCCGCGUCUGAUUAGCUUGUUGGCGGGGUAACGGCCCACCAAGGCGACGAUCAGUAGCCGACCUGAGAGGGUGACCGGCCACAUUGGGACUGAGACACGGCCCAGACUCCUACGGGAGGCAGCAGUGGGGAAUAUUGCACAAUGGAGGAAACUCUGAUGCAGCGACGCCGCGUGAGUGAAGAAGUAGUUCGCUAUGUAAAGCUCUAUCAGCAGGGAAGAUAGUGACGGUACCCGACUAAGAAGCUCCGGCUAAAUACGUG